UACGUAGGGGGCGAGCGUUGUCCGGAAUUAUUGGGCGUAAAGGGUGCGUAGGCGGCUGAAUAAGUCAGAUGUGAAAGGUUAAGGCUUAACUUUAAUAAGCAUAUGAAACUGCUCAGCUUGAGUUAAGGAGAGGGGAGUGGAAUUCCUAGUGUAGCGGUGAAAUGCGUAGAUAUUAGGAGGAAUACCAGUGGCGAAGGCGACUCUCUGGACUUAAACUGACGCUGAGGCACGAAAGCGUGGGGAGCAAACAGGAUUAGAUACCCUGGUAGUCCACGCCGUAAACGAUGAGUGCUAGGUGUUGGGUGUCAAAGCUCAGUGCCGCAGCUAACGCAAUAAGCACUCCGCCUGGGGAGUACGAUCGCAAGAUUAAA
rnacentral:rRNA from 1 species